AAUUUUUGAAAAGUGUUCAUUCAUCCCAGUCUUCUUCAAAAAUUAAUGGACGAAGUUAUACUAGUCGCAUGGUUCAAAGGAGGCAACUUUCCUUUUCCCCGUCUCCCUGGUCCAGCUGCUGCUUCAUUAUCUGACUUGAGAAACUUUCCCAUGUUUGGUGGUCAAAGCAACUUGUGUAGGCAACCAUGCCCGAGGAGAGUUUACCAUUGUAUAUGGAUGUUUGUAUUUCUACAAACAAAUUGCGGCAAAGAAGGGGAAGGAAAUGUUCUCAAGGUGGAGCUCUAGCAAGAGACCAGCAUUUGGACAAUGCGGUAAACAGAUCUCAAUCUAACAUAACAAGCAUCACUGCCCAUUCAUGAUUAGGUAAUCUUUCAUCAUAAAAGUCCUUUCCCAACGUAAUAACUUGAAAACGUCAUUUAUGAGUUUCCUCCCCUUCUGAUGUUCCUGUUUGUGCUCCUAUUUGAUACGAUGCCAUUUCCAAUUCAAAAACUUUUCAGGAGUAUCUUGUUGAGCUGAGAUAUGCAUGAAAAUGGAAAGCAAUCGAGUUGAAAUCCUCACUGGCUUUUCAAAAUCUGAUGAGGAA